rnacentral:lncRNA from 1 species
AUUUCUUUUAGAAAUCUGACUGGGGUUUCCAUUCCUCGUCCAGCUGACCAGGCACUGAGGAGGAGCCCGGAGGUGGAGGUCAGGAGCAGCUGGAAGAGCAGGAGGAGCCCGGAGGUGGAGGAAAGUAUGAAGCAACUUUCUGUGCCAGGCACCGUGCUGGCUUUGCCCCGGGAUGGGUGAGGAAGCUGUGGAAAGAGCCAGUUGUUCGUGCAGGCAUGGAUGACUAACGUGAGAGAUGAAGAAGCCCUUUCUCUGGAGACAGUCUUGAACUAGAUGAGCUCAUGGAGCCUUUGAAAAGCAUUCACCUGCUCAGGCCUCCUGCACUUGCAUCUUCAGCUCUGACCUUUCCACUGAGCUACAGGCUCACACCUACUUGUCGUCUCCAUCUGGAUAUCUACCAGCUGGAAGCUCUGUGACAGCAGAGACCUUCUCUAUCAUGUUCCCUGCAGUAUUUCCUGCUUUGAGAGCAGUUCCUG